rnacentral:misc_RNA from 1 species
GAAGCGCGAAAUGUAGUGUGAAUCGCAGAACAUUGUGAAUCAUCGAAUCUUUGAACGCACAUUGCGCCUCCCUUUGCCGGGAGGCAUGCCUGUCUGAGCGUCGUUUAAAUCAAUGGACCCGAAUGGGUUCGUGUUGGGCCUCGCCCGUCGGGCGUCGCCUCAAAGGCAUCGGUCUUUUUGAGCGGAUGGGAUCCACCUGGAUUGGCCGCUCGAGGACCCGAAACAUCGGACUCGACCUCAGAUCAGGCAGGGCUACCGCCUGAACUUAA